GACGAACGCUGGCGGCGUGCUUAACACAUGCAAGUCGAACGGAAAGGCCCUGCUUUUGUGGGGUGCUCGAGUGGCGAACGGGUGAGUAACACGUGAGUAACCUGCCCUUGACUUUUGGAUAACUUCAGGAAACUGGGGCUAAUACCGGAUAGGAGCUCCUGCUGCAUGGUGGGGGUUGGAAAGUUUCGGCGGUUGUGGAUGGACUCGCGGCUUAUCAGCUUGUUGGUGGGGUAGUGGCUUACCAAGGCUUUGACGGGUAGCCGGCCUGAGAGGGUGACCGGCCACCCGGGAACGGGAACACGGUCAAGACUCCUAAGGGAGGGAGCAGUAGGGAAUCUGAGGCAGUGGGCGAAAGCAUGACGGAGCGAGGGCGCGUGAGUGAUGAAGGCGUUCGGAUCGUAAAAAUCUGUUAUGAGGGAAGAACAAAUGUGGAAGUAAAUAUGCACGUAGUGACGGUACCGAAUAAGAAAGCAACGGCUAACUACGUG
rnacentral:rRNA from 1 species